rnacentral:rRNA from 1 species
AUUGAACGCUGGCGGCAGGCUUAACACAUGCAAGUCGAACGAUGAAACUCUAGCUUGCUAGAGAUGAUUAGUGGCGGGCGGGUGAGUAACAUUUAGGAAUCCGCCUAGUAGUGGGGGAUAGCUCGGGGAAACUCGAAUUAAUACCGCAUACGACCGACGGGUGAAAGGGGGCGCAAGCUCUUGCUAUUAGAUGAGCCUAAAUCAGAUUAGCUAGUUGGUGGGGUAAAGGCCCACCAAGGCGACGAGCUGUAACUGGGCAGAGAGGAUGAUCAGUCAAACCGGAACUGAGACACGGUCCGGGCGCCUACGGGACGCAGCAGUGGGGUAUAUUGGACAAAGUGGGCAACCCUGAUCCAGCCAUGCCGCGUGUGUGAAGAAAGCCUUUUGGUUGUAAAGCACUUUAAGCAGGGAGGAGAGGCUAAUGGUUAAUACCCAUUAGAUUAGACGUUACCUGCAGAAUAAGCACCGGCUAACUCUGUGCCAUCCACCGCAGUAUAAC